rnacentral:tRNA from 1 species
GCCUCGGUAGCUCAGGUGGUAGAGCAGCGGACUGAAAAUCCGCGUGUCGGCGGUUCGAAUCCGUCCUGAGGCACCA